UUCGCAAUGCCCGAAAGGGUGAACGAGCGACGCCGCGUGCGGGAUGAAGGCCUUCGGGUCGUAAACCGCUUUUGCAAGGGAAAAACUUAAUGAUGGUACCUUGCGAAUAAGAGGUUACUAACUCUGUGCCAGCAGUAGCGGUAAUACAGAGACCUCAAGCGUUAUCCGGAUUUAUUGGGCGUAAAGCGCGUGUAGGCGGAUGGGAACGUCGGUCUUUGAAAGCCCCCGGCUCAACCGGGGAAGCGGAGCCGAAACGACCGAUCUGGAGGGACGUAUGGGGACCUGGAACUUCCGGUGGAGCGGUGAAAUGCGUUGAGAUCGGAAGGAACGCCCGUGGCGAAAGCGAGGUCCUGGACGUCUGCUGACGCUGAGACGCGAAAGCUAGGGGAGCAAACGGGAUUAGAUACCCCGGUAGUCCUAGCCGUAAACGAUGGGCACUAAGUAGAGGGGUUUU
rnacentral:rRNA from 1 species